rnacentral:rRNA from 1 species
GGAGGGUCCGAGCGUUAAUCGGAAUUACUGGGCGUAAAGCGUACGCAGGCGGUUUGUUAAGCGAGAUGUGAAAGCCCCGGGCUCAACCUGGGAACUGCAUUUCGAACUGACAAACUAGAGUUUUGUAGAGGGUGGUAGAAUUUCAGGUGUAGCGGUGAAAUGCGUAGAGAUCUGAAGGAAUACCAGUGGCGAAGGCGGCCACCUGGACAAUAACUGACGCUCAUGUACGAAAGCGUGGGGAGCAAACGGGAUUAGAUACCCCGGUAGUCCACGCCGUAAACGAUGUCAACUAGCCGACUGGCGCCUUGAGCGCUGGGUGGCGCAGCUAACGCAUUAAGUUGACCGCCUGGGGAGUACGGCCGCAAGGUUAAAACUCAAAUGAAUUGACGGGGGCCCGCACAAGCGGUGGAGCAUGUGGUUUAAUUCGAUGCAACGCGAAGAACCUUACCUACUCUUGACAUCCACGGAAUUUAGCAGAGAUGCUUUAGUGCCUUCGGGAACCGUGAGACAGGUGCUGCAUGGCUGUCGUCAGCUCGUGUUGUGAAAUGUUGGGUUAAGUCCCGCAACGAGCGCAACCCCUAUCCUUAGUUGCCAGCACGUAAUGGUGGGAACUCUAGGGAGACUGCCGGUGAUAAACCGGAGGAAGGUGGGGACGACGUCAAGUCAUCAUGGCCCUUACGAGUAGGGCUACACACGUGCUACAAUGGUACAUACAAAGGGUUGCGAAGCCGCGAGGUCGAGCCAAUCCCAAAAAGUGUAUCGUAGUCCGGAUCGGAGUCUGCAACUCGACUCCGUGAAGUCGGAAUCGCUAGUAAUCGUAGAUCAGAAUGCUACGGUGAAUACGUUCCCGGGCCUU